GACAGAGGAGCCAAGCGUUGUCCGGAUUGACUGGGCGUAAAGCGCACGCAGGCGGUCGUGCACGUGGGGUGUGAAAACUGGCGGCUCAACUGCCAGAGGCCACCUCAUACGGCGCGACUCGAGCCCGUGAGAGGUCCAUGGAAUUGCCGGUGUAGUGGUGAAAUGCGUAGAGAUCGGCAGGAACACCCAGGGAGAAAUCAGUGGACUGGCACGGUGCUGGACGCUCAGGUGCGAAAGCGUGGGGAGCGAACCGGG
rnacentral:rRNA from 1 species